CAAAAAUGUUAGCAGUCCAACUUUACCUUUUAGGGUAUUACUGAGGUUUUUGACUGUCUGAUAAGAAUGUAAAGAUACUACACGAGAGGCACAAACCGGGGCUAGAGGAGGCGCCGUGGGAAUUGUAGUCUUUACGUACUUGACUACAGAAAUCACGGACGUCUUCACAAGAAAAUAACUGCUGCUUCAGGGCCAUUGAACUUCU